rnacentral:rRNA from 1 species
GAUGAACGCUGGCGGCGUGCCUAAUACAUGCAAGUCGAGCGAACAGAUGAGGAGCUUGCUCCUCUGACGUUAGCGGCGGACGGGUGAGUAACACGUGGAUAACCUACCUAUAAGACUGGGAUAACUUCGGGAAACCGGAGCUAAUACCGGAUAAUAUAUUGAACCGCAUGGUUCAAUAGUGAAAGACGGUUUUGCUGUCACUUAUAGAUGGAUCCGCGCCGCAUUAGCUAGUUGGUAAGGUAACGGCUUACCAAGGCAACGAUGCGUAGCCGACCUGAGAGGGGGACCGGCCAAACGGGAGCUGAGACCCGGUCCAGACUCCUACGGGAGGCAGAGUAGGGAAUCUUCCGCAAUGGGCGAAAGCCUGACGGAGCAACGCCGCGUGAGUGAUGAAGGUCUUCGGAUCGUAAAACUCUGUUAUUAGGGAAGAACAAAUGUGUAAGUAACUAUGCACGUCUUGACGGUACCUAAUCAGAAAGCCACGGCUAACUACGUG